rnacentral:lncRNA from 1 species
AUGACUUCUGGCAUGAGCAAGACAGCUGGAGAGUGUACUUGGUGGGCCAUGCUCGCUUCAGAAAGGCAGUGGGAAAAUAUCUUGUCUGCGUGUGCCCACAGGCUUUGGCAAUGCAGCAAGAGCCUUGUCUGUGCAUGUGUGUGCCUCACUUGUAGUGAUUAUCAAGUAAAGCAAUGGUCUCUUUCUGCAGCUGUAAAAUCCAUGAUGCUACAGUUUUACAGCUUUAUUAGAGAGACAGAGACAGAGGGAGAUAACAUGCUUCAAAAAACAAGCCUUUGUGUUUGUGUCCAUCAUCAUCAUCAUCAUCAUCAUCUCACAGCUGAACAAAUGGAAGACCCAAAAGGUAUCGGAUUUCUCUUGGUUCCAUAGCUAGUAAGUGGUGCUGGCAAGAUUGGAAUGCAGGUUUUGUCUGGUCUUUUAUUCCAAAAUGAACUAAUCACAUAGAAGCAAUAUAAAACUUAAAAUUUCUUCCCAAAACAUGGUGGGCGGCCUUUCAACUGCUUCCCUGGCUCCCGCCACACUCCCAGGAGGGAUAUGCCAGUGUGCUGUUCUGUUCAAAGAUCACCAGUUAAGACCUGGUGGAUUUGAGGUCGGCUCCCCGGGAGGGUUGGCUUUGCACUGCUCUGUGUGCACCCUCCCCCAGCAGCACACACCUGUCAGAUGGUGGCUGACUUGGGGGGGGUGGAAUCUGUGAUGGGAGAAUGGGUGAAGAGGCCCAUAUACAAGGGAAAUGGCCACAGAAAAGGCCCCACUAACACCCUGUUCAAAAGCACCUCUUCUCAACCUGGCAGGCAGGAGGAAGUUGUCCUUCAGAAGAGGAGCUGUGACCCAGAUGGAGGCCUGACAGGAAGGGGAGUGUCCUCAGGCAAGGACUUUGUGGUGUAUCUUGUGCCAUGGACCCCUCUGGGAAGUCUGUGGACCCAUCCAUAGAAGAACACUUCCAAAUACAUAAAAAGAACACACAGGAUUGUAAAGGAAACCAAUUUUGAGUAAAGAAGUUAUUAAAUUCUUUUAAAGUGUGCGAUUUUGUAUUGCAUCUGUGUCUCAGUCUGCUAGGGCGGCCGUAACAAAAUCCCACAGGCUCAAACAACAGACACGAAUUGCUUGAAGUCCUGAAGUCCUGAAGUCCGGGAAGAAGCUGACAGCAGCUUCCAUUGUGGGGGAAGGCCUGCCUCCAGGCUUGCAGAUGGCUGCCUUUGCCAUAUCCUCACAUGGUAGAGAGAGCUCUGGUGUCUCUUCUUCUUUUUAAAAAGAUUUUAUUUAUUUAUUCAUGAGAGACACAGAGAGAGGCAGAGACAUAGGCAGAGGGAGACGCAGGGAGCCUGAUGUGGGACUUGAUCUCAGGACCCCGGAAUCACAACCUGAGCCAAAGGCAGACGCUCAACCUCUGAGCCACCCAGGUGCCCCUGUUCUCAUUUUUAAGGACACCGGUCUUAUCAUGAGGGCUCCACCUUUAUGACUUCAUCUAAAUCUAAUCACCUCCCCAAAGCCCCACCUUCUAAUACCAUCACUUUAGGGGUUAGAACUUCAACAUAGAAAUUUGGAGUGUGUGUGUGGGGGGACACAAACAGUUCAUAACAGUGUUAACUUCUUAUUGAUGCUUUAAACAACA